rnacentral:rRNA from 1 species
UACGUAGGGUCCGAGCGUUGUCCGGAAUUAUUGGGCGUAAAGAGCUCGUAGGCGGCUUGUCGCGUCUGCCGUGAAAGUCCGGGGCUCAACUCCGGAUCUGCGGUGGGUACGGGCAGACUAGAGUGAUGUAGGGGAGACUGGAAUUCCUGGUGUAGCGGUGAAAUGCGCAGAUAUCAGGAGGAACACCGAUGGCGAAGGCAGGUCUCUGGGCAUUAACUGACGCUGAGGAGCGAAAGCAUGGGGAGCGAACAGG